GGCUGGCAUGGUGUAGUGGUCUGGGCAUGUUGGACUGUGACUCUGGAGACCAAGGUUCAAAUCCCCAUUCAGCUA